UACAGGGGGUGCAAACGUUGCUCGGAAUCAUUGGGCGUAAAGCGCACGUAGGCGGUUCGUUAUGUCGGAUGUGAAAUCCCACGGCUCAACCGUGGAAGUGCACUCGAAACUGCAUAGCUAGAGUCCUGGAGAGGAAGGUGGAAUGCUUGGUGUAGAGGUGAAAUUCGUAGAUAUCAAGCGGAACACCGGUGGCGAAGGCGGCCUUACUGGACA
rnacentral:rRNA from 1 species